rnacentral:rRNA from 1 species
UCGAGAAUCUUCGGCAAUGAGCGCAAGCUUGACCGAGCGACGCCGCGUGCGGGAUGAAGGCCUUCGGAUUGUAAACCCCUUUCGGCAGGGAAGAUGGAACGGGUAACCGUUCGGACGGUACCUGCAGAAGCAGCCACGGCUAACUUCGUGCCAGCAGCCGCGGUAAUACGAAGGUGGCAAGCGUUGUUCGGAUUUACUGGGCGUACAGGGAGCGUAGGCGGUUGGGUAAGCCCUCCGUGAAAUCUCCGGGCCUAACCCGGAAAGUGCGGAGGGGACUGCUCGGCUAGAGGAUGGGAGAGGAGCGCGGAAUUCCCGGUGUAGCGGUGAAAUGCGUAGAGAUCGGGAGGAAGGCCGGUGGCGAAGGCGGCGCUCUGGAACAUUUCUGACGCUGAGGCUCGAAAGCGUGGGGAGCAAACAGGAUUAGAUACCCCAGUAGUCCCUGAGCGGGCUGGCAAGGCGCAU